CAGUCGCCGCGGUAGUACGUAGGUGGCAAGCGUUGUCCGGAAUUAUUGGGCGUAAAGGGCUCGCAGGCGGUUUCUUAAGUCUGAUGUGAAAGCCCCCGGCUCAACCGGGGAGGGUUAUUGGAAACUGGGAAACUUGAGUGCAGAAGAGGAGAGUGGAAUUCCACGUGUAGCGGUGAAAUGCGUAGAGAUGUGGAGGAACACCAGUGGCGAAGGCGACUCUCUGGUCUGUAACUGACGCUGAGAAGCGAAAGCGUGGGGAGCGAACAGGAUUAGAUACCCCUGUAGUCCCUGUCUCUUAUAC
rnacentral:rRNA from 1 species